rnacentral:rRNA from 1 species
CGGAACGUGCCCAGUAGCGGGGGAUAACUACGCGAAAGCGUAGCUAAUACCGCAUACGCCCUACGGGGGAAAGGGGGGGAUCGUAAGACCUCUCACUAUUGGAGCGGCCGAUAUCGGAUUAGCUAGUUGGUGGGGUAAAGGCUCACCAAGGCGACGAUCCGUAGCUGGUUUGAGAGGACGACCAGCCACACUGGGACUGAGACACGGCCCAGACUCCUACGGGAGGCAGCAGUGGGGAAUUUUGGACAAUGGGGGAAACCCUGAUCCAGCCAUUCCGCGUGUGCGAUGAAGGCCUUCGGGUUGUAAAGCACUUUUGGCGGGAAAGAAAUCGGUCGGGCUAAUACCCUGACCGGAUGACGGUACCCGCAGAAUAAGCACCGGCUAACUACGUGCCAGCAGCCGCGGUAAUACGUAGGGUGCAAGCGUUAAUCGGAAUUACUGGGCGUAAAGCGUGCGCAGGCGGUUCGGAAAGAAAGAUGUGAAAUCCCAGGGCUCAACCUUGGAACUGCAUUUUUAACUACCGGGCUAGAGUGUGUCAGAGGGAGGUGGAAUUCCGCGU